AAGGCCUUAGGGUUGUAAAGCUCUUUCAGCAGGGACGAUAAUGACGGUACCUGCAGAAGAAGCCCCGGCUAACUCCGUGCCAGCAGCCGCGGUAAGACGGAGGGGGCUAGCGUUGUUCGGAAUUACUGGGCGUAAAGCGCGCGUAGGCGGGUGUGCAAGUUGGGGGUGAAAGCCCGGGGCUCAACCUCGGAACUGCCUUCAAAACUGCACAUCUAGAGGACGGGAGAGGCAAGUGGAAUUCCCAGUGUAGAGGUGAAAUUCGUAGAUAUUGGGAAGAACACCGGUGGCGAAGGCGACUUGCUGGACCGGAUCUGACGCUGAGGUGCGAAAGCGUGGGGAGCGAACAGGAUUAGAUACCCUGGUAGUCCACGCCGUAAACGAUGGGUGCUAGGUGUCGGGCGGCUUGCCGUUCGGUGCCGCAGCUAACGCGUUAAGCACCCCGCCUGGGGA
rnacentral:rRNA from 1 species